CUACACAAAUCUUGUAGAUAUGUGUGUGCAUAGAAAGAGAUCACAAAUCCAUAGAUGUGUGUGUA
rnacentral:pre_miRNA from 12 species